AAUUAAUUAUUCAAAAGGAGAAAACAGAUGACUUCAGUGUGCUUUAGUCUCUCUGUCUUUAAAGAAUUCUGCCUUGUACCUGUGCAAACAAAUAGAUAUCAUCCUGUGAUUAUGUAGAUCAUAAUAGAAACUUAAAGGAAGCAAAAACUUAAUAGAAAUAAAUAUUACUAAGUUGUUUUUUUUAUAUAUAGAUCAGUAGUAAUUAUUAACAAUUAUUUUUACAGUGGUUAUUCUUAGUUCUUUCAAAACUCCAUAAUUAAGUAAUAAGCCUUGCUGCUCAGUCUGUACUGAACUUUAUCCAUAGCUUUAAGCUUCAGAUUACUAUAGCUCUAGUCACAUCUAAUGCAGGAUCUCAUAAAUUUUCAGUUUAAACAGGGAAACCACUUCAUAGUUUAGGAAAUUCUGUACAAAAGGUUUUUCGAUAUGAAUUUGAGGCUUAAACAUGCAAGUACAAAUAAUGUUAUAUGCAAACACCUAUUUGAUAUUAGGUUCCUAAGAUACAACUUUUUCCACCUAGCUUAAGUGUCCUUUCUUACUAGUCUGAUCAUUUUAUGACCUUUUUUGAACAGGCUGUGCAGAUUUGAGUUGCAAUUCUGUGACUGUGAGGUCAAGAAUUUUGAUAACUAAGAGUAGAUAUUCUCUUUAGUAAUAGCAAAUGAGGAAGAGUCAUAGAAGACUAAUGGUUAAAUAUUUGCUGCUUUAAUUUAUGUCUGCUAUUGCAAGCAUGCCUUGUUUUCUUGAAUGUUUCAGUUUGUAGCAAAUUUUGAAGUUAGUGAAGUUAAGAACAGUCAACAUGCAUUCAGCCAGUUGUACUUCUGAAGUGUUUCAGCCACUUCAGAAUUCAACUUGGACACAGGAAGAGCUUUCUAGUUGGGCUUUUUAAAAUCCUUUUAAAGUAUUCACUUCUAAUACAUCAGUAGAAAUUGAAGGGAAUUUACAUCUCACCUAUAUUUAUGUUUUUAAUGUACUAUAUUCCUUAUUCUGUGGAACUAUUCACAAAAGCUGAACUCAAAUGUGUUUUAGCUAAUAAUUUGACAUAUAUCACUUGCUUGCAAGUUUUGGUGGCAGCAGCAGCAACUAGUUCACAAUUUGCUGGAAUUUUUAUAAGUUCACAUCUAGACAACCUUGUGUGAAGCAAUGGAAGGCCUGAUAGUACCUUCUACCAGAAUAGGAGCACACUUGUAAAGUCUGAAAUGGCCACUGACUAUGAAAGCUAGAGGGGAAAGAGGCAUACCAGCUCACAGUCCAUUAAUGGGAAAAGGAAGGCCACACUCGUAAAUCUUUUCCACAAUUUUCACAAUUAGCUAAUAAAAGUAUGUCACACUAUAGGAAGCAAUUUAGAAUGGAAAUACUAUGGCAGUUCUCUCAAUUUUCUUUCCUGUUGCUUCUUAAUCUUGAUCUUGAUCUUCUUAAUCUUAGCUUCUCCGCUAAAAUUGCUACUAACCAUCUCCCAAAAACAUCUAACAGUAACAGGCAGUCAUAAUUUUUAAAGACAUUACAUGGGAAGACAUCCCUUGAAACUUGCCGAGUUGGUCAAAUGUAAUUGCUUAAGAUUGAAAUUUCCUGAAUGUUAGUGAAUAAAUUGAACAAAACAUUCUGGAACCAAUUAAUAAAACUCAAUAUUCUGUCACAAAUGAAUCAUAACAGUAUUCAAUUAAGUAACUAGUAUAUCAUAACACUAAGUAAUGAACACACGAUAGACAAAUGCGUUAUCAUUUGAGUUAUUUAUUUUUUAAGUGGACAGUUUAAAUGUUGAUGUUAUUAACCAUUUUGUUUUAAAUUUCUGAGAGCCCUUGGCUGAGAUUUCUUGCACUAAUUAUAGUACGUAGGGGGAACAAAAGUAGAAGGAUAUUUUCCAGUGUGCAUGUGUGUCUGUGUUUCUGUGUACGUAUGUGCUUUACAAUUAUCAAACAUAUAUUUACACACCAACUUUACACUGAAGUCUUUAAGAAGUCUUUUCUAUGGCAGGGGAAAGAAUCAACUGAUCCAUCUGCAAUUUUCCAGUAUAGUCCCACAGAGUUUCUUAUGCAUUCAAACCUUUGCUGGAAUGUUACGCCAUCCAGUAGUGUUUCUUUAUGAGAUGAAACCUGGAGCUGAGGAAUGUAUCUCUUCAGUUUCCUUGACUUCACUAAACUGUAAAUAAUUUAAAUUGUUAAAUUGAAAUAUCAAGACAUUUAGUUAUUGUUCAUAUCGCUCAUCUUUAACCUUCUAAUAAUACAUCACAUUUUUUAAAAUAAUUAAAAACCCAACGAAAAAAAGACUUUGGAGGCUAUACACUACACAAUCGCCAUGACUCCUGCUUCUUGGGAAAUCUGUUACAACAUUACAGUUCCCAGAAUGUAUUUGGAGCAGUGGAACAGAAUUGUCCAUUGGCAACUUUCACAUUCAGCAGUCCAGACACUACAACAAUAAUUUAAAAAACUGCUUUGUGAUUUAUUUUUUAUCUGUAUUAAAAAAAAAAACACUAACCUACUUCUUAAAUAUAGAGUG